UACAGGGGGGGCAAGCGUUGUUCGGAAUUACUGGGCGUAAAGGGCUCGUAGGCGGCCAAUUAAGUCCGACGUGAAAUCCCCAGGCUUAACCUGGGAACUGCGUCGGAUACUGAUUGGCUUGAAUCCGGGAGAGGGAUGCGGAAUUCCAGGUGUAGCGGUGAAAUGCGUAGAUAUCUGGAGGAACACCUGUGGCGAAGGCGGCCCCCUGGUUGGAUACUGACGCUGAGACGCGAAAGCGUGGGGAGCAAACAGG
rnacentral:rRNA from 1 species